AAACAUGGUGGUUAGUUUAUUAAUUUAACAUCUGGCCUGCCCACUGAUAUUGAAGGGCCGCAGUAUAUUGACUGUGCAAAGGUAGCAUAAUCAUUAGGUUCUUAAUUAGGAUCUGGAAUGAAGGGUUUAACGAAAUAUUAACUGUCUCUGUUUAAUAGAUUUAAUUUAACUUUUUAGUAAAAAGGCUAGGAUUUGGAUGAGGGACGAGAAGACCCUAUAGAGCUUAAUAUUUACUUUAUAAUAAUCACUUAGAUUUGAAUAAAUUAGUAUUAGGUAAUUAUUUUACUGGGGCGGUAUAAAGAUAAUUUUAACUCUUAUUUUGUUAAUAACAAUGAUUAAGUAAUUGAAUCAUAAUAAUGAUUUUAGAUAAAGUUACCUUAGGGAUAACAGCGUAAUUUAUUUGGAGAGUUCAUAUUGAUAAAUAUGUUUGCGACCUCGAUGUUGAAUUAAGAUUUCAGAGGAAUGGAGCAGUUUCUAUUGAGAGUCUGUUCGACUCUAAAAUUCUUACGUGAUCUGAG
rnacentral:rRNA from 1 species